rnacentral:rRNA from 1 species
GAUGAACGCUAGCGGCAGGCUUAACACAUGCAAGUCGAGGGGUAUAGGUUUUCGGACCUAGAGACCGGCGCACGGGUGCGUAACGCGUAUGCAAUCUACCUUUUACAGAGGGAUAGCCCAGAGAAAUUUGGAUUAAUACCUCAUAGUAUUAUUGAAUGGCAUCAUUUAAUAAUUAAAGUCACAACGGUAAAAGAUGAGCAUGCGUCCCAUUAGCUUGUUGGUAAGGUAACGGCUUACCAAGGCAACGAUGGGUAGGGGUCCUGAGAGGGAGAUCCCCCACACUGGUACUGAGACACGGACCAGACUCCUACGGGAGGCAGCAGUGAGGAAUAUUGGUCAAUGGGCGCAAGCCUGAACCAGCCAUGCCGCGUGCAGGAUGACGGUCCUAUGGAUUGUAAACUGCUUUUGUACAGGAAGAAACAGUUCUACGUGUAGAACCUUGACGGUACUGUAAGAAUAAGGAUCGGCUAACUCCGUGC